CCAGACUCCUACGGGAGGCAGCAGUGGGGAAUAUUGGGCAAUGGGCGCAAGCCUGACCCAGCAACGCCGCGUGAAGGAAGAAGGCUUUCGGGUUGUAAACUUCUUUUGACAGGGAAGAGUAGAAGACGGUACCUGUCGAAUAAGCCACGGCUAAAUACGUGCCAGCAGCCGCGGUAAUACGUAUGGAGCAAGCGUUAUCCGGAUUUACUGGGUGUAAAGGGAGCGCAGGCGGCGCGCCAAGUCUGGUGUGAAACCCCGGGGCUCAACCCCGGGACUGCAUUGGAAACUGGCGGGCUGGAGUGUCGGAGGGGCAGGCGGAAUUCCUGGUGUAGCGGUGAAAUGCGUAGAUAUCAGGAGGAACACCGGUGGCGAAGGCGGCCUGCUGGACAUUAACUGACGCUGAGGCGCGAAAGCGUGGGGAGCAAACAGGAUUAGAUACCCUCGUA
rnacentral:rRNA from 1 species